rnacentral:lncRNA from 1 species
UGAGUUUCUGUUUCUGUUCUGAAGCCUUUUGACAGCAAUCAAAACACAAGCUACUGGACUCCAAAUGACUUGAAAAUUGACAGGAAGCUGCACAAACAUACCAGGUUCAAAACACUAGCACUGAACUAAGUCCAGUUCUCAACAUACUGACCUGCACAACCUUAUCUACAGGGGAAGAAAAUGUUUUCAGCAUUCCAGACUUAGUGAAAUUUUCAGAGUUCAAAAUUCUGGAAUUUUUCCAGCCACAUGCCCACUUUGUCUAGGCAUAGUUUGCACACACAAGUUCCCAAGAGGUGUUUGACACCACUAUGGUAUUGAGCACAAACCCCUACAACUAGCACUCCAAGAUCCAUGCCUUUGGGCUCCAUCUAUACCAUGGAAACAAAGCCCAAACUUUCAACAAAAUGAAAAAUGCAAAUCCAAAAGGUAUACUUUUAAGAUGACAACUACAUCGGAGGGUUUCAUGUGCACAAUGACAACAUGACAUGGGGGUUUGAACCCCAUGUUUGUGUCAUGCACAUCAACAAUUCCCACACCACAAUUCCUCUCAAGCACUAGCAUCAAGCUCACACAUAAGAAAUCUUUAUCCAACAAGAGAGUAUGCACACCCCCCCACAUAUGGGCAUGUGAUGGUGCAACUCUCAUAAGCAUCACUAGGAUUUUCCUAGUAUUCAUGUCACCAUCAUUAUGCAAACUACCACAACAAACCACACCCUCACAUGCUAACACAAUAGCUAUCUAGUGCUACUCCUCACCUCAAGACAUGUGAUGAGGGGGAGGCACCCACACCCCACUACAUCAAAGCAAGCAAAUAAAACUACAAGAUCCCUUAGCCCACACCAAAGUUCAAGAAUUUGGGGCUAUACAAGAGUAGCUAGUGCCUCUUAUCACCUCAAGGCACACACACUCAAAUGUCAAGGCAUCUCACAUCUCCCAUUUAACAAGGUUAGCUCCACUUCACUAAGGUGCACUCUCCAUAGACAUCCAAGCAUUGCAAGUUCAUACACAAACACAAACUCUUAUGCACAAAACAACCCUUGUGGGUGUGCCACCAUGCACACACCCCAACACCAACCUACACCAAGCCUAAUACAAGCACACACUAUGCAGGAAAGGAGAAAACUAAAGGCCAAGGAAGGGGAAAAAAAUACCACAUGCAAAUAGGGAAGUUUAGCUACCAUCUAGCAAGGAAGGGGAAAAAAUUGACAAGAAAACAAUGUUCAGAGAAAAAGGGGGAGGUGCUGGGGUCGAACCCCAGACCUGCUGGAGUGCAAGCCGCAAUCCUACCACUCUGCUAGGCUCUAGGUACUCGACAAAAAGGGAACCAAACAGAGGAACUACUAUCUGCUCUGCCCUGCUGAUAAAACAGGAAAAAGAAAGCAAAAAGGGGGAUGAUUCUACUGGGAUUCGAACCCUACACCUGAUGAAAGAUCAACACACCUUCUACCACUGUGCUACGACGCAUUGUCUGACAGAGGAGGGAAAUAAUGCAUCCUGACAUGGCCUCGCUUCAGGUCGCUGGACUGCACCUGCGAUCCGGUGACAGGGAGGUCACCGGAGCUGCAUCUCUGUCCCGUCUCUACUACGCCCGCGGGAGAGGGAAAGGGCUCCUGCACGUCUACCCUGUACCGUCCCUCAUCAACCAACUACCCUGCUAUACACCACGCACACACACACUUCCUGACGACCUCUCCUGGGAACAGAGAACCCUCUACUAUGCCUGCUAACUCAUGGGGAAGGGAGGAGGCGGUCGUCACCUAGAACCGGAAGAGGGGGCGCCGAUCUGCAACGGGAGAGUGCCCGAGAGGAAGAAGGGCGUCGGAGUAGCUGAUCCUGAACCGAAGAAACGCUGCAGGGGAAAGAGCACCGGGAGCUUGCCGUAGACGUGGACGGAUCCGGCGGAGCAGCCGGUCCCCGGGGCUCCUAGUGCCGGGAAUGGAUCGCGGGGAUCCACCCCGAGCUCCUGGACAUGGUGACGGCGGCGAUCUGCAACGGGAGCGAGGCGUCCGCCGGCGAGGAGCUGCACCACUUGGUCUACCCCUACAGGAACCCUCCUGUAGACGGGAGGAGAGAUGGGAAAGAGGAGAAGAGGUGGCGGCGGCGGACUGGGGAGAAGAGGAACCCUAGGAGGAGAGGGGAGGCACGGGCGCCCGGCUUAUAAGGGUCCCCCUCGACGUUGGCGCCCUCACGGCGUCAACAGGAGCACCCUCAAACUGACGGGAAAACUGCAGGGAAAGCCACGGCGUCAACAGGAGGAAGGAGCUGCGGUACUGGGCCUCUACUCGCGAGGGAGGGAGUAGAUGGGCCACAUCUUGCGCGGGAAGCAGCCCAACUCGGCGAGAUAUAAGGAAUAAACUCCUCCCUAAGCAGUUUCCUUUUAACAGGAAAACAAGAGAAGAAAGAAAUGCCCAAGGUUAUAAACACAAGACAAAAAAAAAA